AGUUGAAUAACACAGCAUGGAGUGAAGGCUGGUGUGGACAUUAUGGUGACAGACGGGCCAUGUCCCGAUUCUCUAUCCUUUUCACUUCACAUUUAAAAGCAGUGGAUUGGCUGGUCUAGGGGUAAUGAUAGUGUAGUCUGGUCUAGGGGUAAUGAUAGUGUAGUCUGGUCUAGGGGUAAUGAUAGUGUAGUCUGGUCUAGAGGUAAUGAUAGUGUAGUCUGGUCUAGGGGUAAUGAUAGUGUAGUCUGGUCUAGGGGUAAUGAUAGUGUAGUCUGGUCUAGGGGUAAUGAUAGUGUAGUCUGGUCUAGGGGUAAUGAUAGUGUAGUCUGGUCUAGGGGUAAUGAUAGUGUAGUCUGGUCUAGGGGUAAUGAUAGUGUAGUCUGGUCUAGGGGUAAUGAUAGUGUAGUCUGGUCUAGGGGUAAUGAUAGUGUAGUCUGGUCUAGGGGUAAUGAUAGUGUAGUCUGGUCUAGGGGUAAUGAUAGUGUAGUCUGGUCUAGGGGUAAUGAUAGUGUAGUCUGGUCUAGAGGUAAUGAUAGUGUAGUCUGGUCUAGGGGUAAUGAUAGUGUAGUCUGGUCUAGGGGUAAUGAUAUUGUAGUCUAGGGCUAAUGAUAGUGUAGUCUAGAGGUAAUGAUAGUGUAGUCUGGUCUAGGGGUAAUGAUAGUGUAGUCUGGUCUAGAGGUACUGAUAGUGUAGUCUAGAGGUAAUGUAGUCUAGUCCAGAGGUAAUGUAGUCUAGUCCAGAGGUAAUGUAGUCUAGUCCAGAGGUAAUGUCUAGUCCAGAGGUAAUGAUAGUAAAGUCUAGAGGUAAUGAUUGUGUAGUCUAGAGGUAAUAAUUGUGUAGACUAGAGGUAAUGGAUUUGAGUCUGGAUGUAAUGUAGUGUAGAGGUAAUGAUAGUCUAGUCCAGAGGUAAUGAUAGUCUAGUCCAGAGGUAAUGAUGUCAAGGCCAGAGGUAAUGAUGUCAAGGCCAGAGGUAAUGAUGUCAAGGCCAGAGGUAAUGAUGUCAAGGCCAGAGGUAAUGAUGUCAAGGCCAGAGGUAAUGAUAGUGUAGACUAGAGGUAAUGUCGUCUAGUCCAGAGGUAAUGUAGUCUAGUCCAGAGGUAAUGUAGUCUAGUCCAGAGGUAAUGUCUAGUCCAGAGGAAAUGAUAGUAAAGUCUAGAGGUAAUGAUAGUAAAGUCUAGAGGUAAUGAUAGUAAAGUCUAGAGGUAAUGAUAGUAAAGUCUAGAGGUAAUGAUUGUGUAGUCUAGAGGUAAUGGAUUUGAGUCUGGAUGUAAUGUAGUGUAGAGGUAAUGCAGUCAAGUCCAGAGGUAAUGCAGUCUAGUCCAGAGGUAAUGCAGUCUAGUCCAGAGGUAAUGUAGUCUCGUCCAGAGGUAAUGUAGUCUCGUCCAGAGGUAAUGUAGUCUCGUCCAGAGGUAAUGUAGUCUCGUCCAGAGGUAGUCUCGUCCAGAGGUAGUCUCGUCCAGAGGUAGUCUCGUCCAGAGGUAAUGAUGUCUAGUCCAGAGGUAAUGAUGUCUAGUCCAGAGGUAAUGAUGUCUAGUCCAGAGGUAAUGAUGUCUAGUCCAGAGGUAAUGAUGUCUAGUCCAGAGGUAAUGAUGUCUAGUCCAGAGGUAAUGAUGUCUAGUCCAGAGGUAAUGAUAGUGUAGACUAGAGGUAAUGUAGUCUAGUCCAGAGGUAAUGGUGUCUAGUCCAGAGGUAAUGAUAGUGUAGACUAGAGGUAAUGUAGUCUAGUCCAGAGGUAAUGAUGUCAAGUCCAGAGGUAAUACUGCAGUCUCAGUUUCUAAAUCAGGCCUACUGCUCCUCGACAUAUCCCAUCAUUCCCUACAGCUUAUCUGCUGAGAGAAAAUACCUUAGACCAAAAGCAUUGGAUUGGUGAGAAAGAGAGAUGUG